rnacentral:sRNA from 1 species
AUACUUUUAUGUACACUAAUCUCAUAUUAUUAUUAUUUAAACUUUGUUUUGUAUAUUAUCACUUGACAAAAAUGGUUCUGUCUUUUGUAUAUGAGGUGUACACAAUAGGUGAAGGUGUACGAUAUUAUAGACGGUGUAGAAGUUGAUUUAUGGUUUGAUUUAUUAUCUCAUUAUUGCAUGUAUACUAUUAAUAUCAUGUACACCAUAUGUUACAUUUUCGUACACCAUCUUAUUAUGUAGUUGCACAUCGUUGUAUAUUAUCGUUUGUACAUCACUUUGUACACUGUCUAUACCGUAUACCACUUCUUAGAUCAAUAUUAUACAUUAUCGUUGUACACUACUAUUUGUACACCACAUUUUUACCAUAUCGCAUACACCGUCGGGUUAAGAUCAAAUAAAAGAAAAGUAUU